UACGUAGGGUGCAGGCGUUAAUCGGAAUUACUGGGCGUAAAGCGUGCGCAGGCGGCUCCUUAAGUCAGAUGUGAAAUCCCCGGGCUUAACCUGGGAACUGCGUUUGAAACUGAGGGGCUUGAGUGUGGAAGAGGGGGGUGGAAUUCCAGGUGUAGCAGUGAAAUGCGUAGAGAUCUGGAGGAACACCGAUGGCGAAGGCAGCCCCCUGGGCUAACACUGACGCUCAUGCACGAAAGCGUGGGGAGCAAACAGG
rnacentral:rRNA from 1 species